UACGGAGGGUGCAAGCGUUAUCCGGAUUCACUGGGUUUAAAGGGUGCGUAGGUGGGCAGGUAAGUCAGUGGUGAAAUCUCCGGGCUUAACCCGGAAACUGCCAUUGAUACUAUCUGUCUUGAAUGCCGUGGAGGUGAGCGGAAUAUGUCAUGUAGCGGUGAAAUGCGCAGAUAUCAGGAGGAACACCAAUGGCGAAGGCAGCUCACUGGGACGGUAUUGACGCUGAGACGCGAAAGCGUGGGGAGCAAACAGG
rnacentral:rRNA from 1 species